rnacentral:rRNA from 1 species
CCUACGGGAGGCAGCAGUGGGGAAUAUUGGACAAUGGGCGAAAGCCUGAUCCAGCCAUGCCGCGUGUGUGAAGAAGGCCUUUUGGUUGUAAAGCACUUUAAGCGAGGAGGAGGCUACCGAGAUUAAUACUCUAGGAUAGUGGACGUUACUCGCAGAAUAAGCACCGGCUAACUCUGUGCCAGCAGCCGCGGUAAU